UACGUGGGGGGCGAGCGUUGUCCGAAGUUACUGGGCGUAAAGCGCGCGUAGGCGGGUUGGCAAGUCUGCUGUGAAAGCCCGGGGCUUAACUCCGGAGGGUCGGUGGAUACUGCCAGUCUUGAAGGUGCUAGGGAGAGAUGGGAUUACAGGUGUAGCGGUGAAAUGCGCAGAUAUCAGGAGGAACACCGAUGGCGAAGGCAG
rnacentral:rRNA from 1 species